rnacentral:rRNA from 1 species
AGUGAACGCUGGCGGUGGGCCUAACACAUGCAAGUCGAACGAGUGGCGGACGGGUGAGGAAUGCAUCGGAAUCUACUCUUUCGUGGGGGAUAACGUAGGGAAACUUACGCUAAUACCGCAUACGAAUGAAUGAGCCGAUGCCCGAUUAGCUAGUUGGCGGGGUAAGAGCCCACCAAGGCGACGAUCGGUAGCUGGUCUGAGAGGAUGAUCAGCCACACUGGAACUGAGACACGGUCCAGACUCCUACGGGAGGCAGCAGUGGGGAAUAUUGGACAAUGGGCGCAAGCCUGAUCCAGCCAUACCGCGUGGGUGAAGAAGGCCUUCGGGUUGUAAAGCCCUUUUGUUGGGAAAGCGGUACCCAAAGAAUAAGCACCGGCUAACUUCGUGCCAGCAGCCGCGGUAAUACGAAGGGUGCAAGCGUUACUCGGAAUUACUGGGCGUAAAGCGUGCGUAGGUGGUUGUUUAAGUCUGUCGUGAAAGCCCUGGGCUCAACCUGGGAAUUGCGAUGGAAACUGGGCGACUAGAGUGUGGCAGAGGAUAGUGGAAUUCCUGGUGUAGCAGUGAAAUGCGUAGAGAUC